rnacentral:lncRNA from 1 species
UUUUAAAGAGCAGACAAAUCGUGUUCAAUUAACGACAUCAGUUGUUUCAAUUCUUUCCUAAUAGCUCUUGAUUUCAUCAGUUUUCUUUUUCCUUCAAUUCGCCGAUGCCAAUGGUGAUAGUUGCCGCCAUAACGUUGCCGUUCACCACCGUUUACCAAUGCUCCAUUUGCUGUUCUUCUUUCAGUUCCUUCCGAUCCUCUUCUUCGUUUUUCCUUCAGUUAGACACUCACCAACCACUUCCAAUUUCUGCUAUUCGAAAACCUAAAUCUCGCAUUUUUGCUUCAAUGAGUAUCGAGGCUCCAAAGAAGUUUUCUCCCGAUUCAUUUCUAUUUUUUUUUACAAGGUGUCCUAUUCUAGACUAAUCCUUGGGUCUGUGAUCCGGCCCCUCUUCACACAGUCCGGUUAAUCGCAGGAUGUGCCUCCAACUGGCCAGGGUCCGAGCGCUCCCCACCUGGUCUGACAAAGUGCCAAGCAAGCCAAUCCAAGUUGCACCUUGCCUUCCAAGAAUAAUCCUUGCCUUCCAAGUUCCCACUUGCCUUCCAAGAAUAAAUCCUUGCCUUUCAAAUGUUCCCUUGCCUUCCAAGAAUAAAUCCUUGCCUUCCAAGAGCCCCAUGUUUCGAACUCACGACCUCUGCUCUGCCAGGUUUGACAGCGUCCGUCCUUUGCCAGUGGAGAAGUGCCCUGGGGGGCAAAACUGUGUAGGGUAAACUUUUUAAAGUGACUGGCCCCACCGCACUGCGGCCCCAUACUCCAGAAACCCCACCUCCGGCCUGGCCCUACGGGUUAGUAUACACCGCUUGGCCCUACACGUAUGGAGGGAUUUUUUGGAGAGGCACAGUACCACCAUGCUGGUAAGAGGACUCGAACACGGAACCUCAGCCAGCAAUGCCAAUGUCCUUACCACUAGAGCAAAUAGACAUCGGCAAAUUGUGUAGGGUAAACUUUUUAAAGUGACUGGCCCCACCGCACUGCGGCCCCAUACUCCAGAAACCCCACCUCCGGCCUGGCCCUACGGGUUAGUAUACACCGCUUGGCCCUACACGUAUGGAGGGAUUUUUUGGAGAGGCACAGUACCACCAUGCUGGUAAGAGGACUCGAACACGGAACCUCAGCCAGCAAUGCCAAUGUCCUUACCACUAGAGCAAAUAGACAUCGGCCUCCCGAUUCAUUUCUAGAUCAUAGAGAAAGUGGUAUUCUUCACUUUGUUAUGUAUCACGGACUCGGAAAUGAUUUCAUAUUGGUAAAUUUUGCAUAUCUUG